UUGAUUGUUGUACAGAAACC
rnacentral:miRNA from 1 species